UACGGAGGGAGCUAGCGUUAUUCGGAAUUACUGGGCGUAAAGCGCACGUAGGCUGCUUUGUAAGUUAGAGGUGAAAGCCUGGAGCUCAACUCCAGAAUUGCCUUUAAGACUGCAUCGCUUGAAUCCAGGAGAGGUGAGUGGAAUUCCGAGUGUAGAGGUGAAAUUCGUAGAUAUUCGGAAGAACACCAGUGGCGAAGGCGGCUCACUGGACUGGUAUUGACGCUGAGGUGCGAAAGCGUGGGGAGCAAACAGG
rnacentral:rRNA from 1 species